GAAUUCGCCCUUAGAGUUUGAUCCUGGCUCAGGACGAACGCUGGCGGCGUGCUUAAAACAUGCAAGUCGAACGAGAUUGAGUUGGGUACUUGUACCUAAUUUAGUCUAGUGGCGGACGGGUGAGUAACGCGUGAGCAACCUGCCUAUCACAGGGGAAUAACACUUGGAAACGAGUGUUAAUACCGCAUAUGACCACAACCUAGCAUUAGGAAGGGGUGAAAGGAGCAAUCCGGUGAUAGAUGGGCUUGCGUCUCAUUAGUUAGUUGGUUGGGUAACGGCCUACCAAGACGACGAUGAGUAGCCGAUCUGAGAGGAUGAACGGCCACAUUGGAACUGAGAAACGGUCCAAACUCCUACGGGAGGCAGCAGUUAGGAAUAUUGGGCAAUGGAGGAAACUCUGACCCAGCAACGCCGCGUGAAGGAAGAAGGUUUUCGGAUUGUAAACUUCUGAUCUGUGGAAAAAAGGAAGUGAUGGUACCACAGGAGCAAGCCACGGCUAACUACGUGCCAGCAGCCGCGGUAAUACGUAGGUGGCAAGCGUUGUCCGGAAUGACUGGGCGUAAAGGGAGCGUAGGUGGUUUUUUAAGUUAAAUGUGAAAGACCGUGGCUCAACCACGGAACUGCAUUUAAUACUGGAGAACUGGAGUACAGGAGGGGUAAGCGGAAUUCCUAGUGUAGCGGUUAAAUGCGUAGAUAUUAGGAGGAACACCGGAGGCGAAGGCGGCUUACUGGACUGCAACUGACACUGAGGCUCGAAAGCGUGGGGAUCAAACAGGAUUAGAUACCCUGGUAGUCCACGCCCUAAACGAUGAAUACUAAAUGUGGGUGGUAUCGACUCCAUCCGUAUUGAAGCAAACGCGAUAAGUAUUCCGCCUGGGGAGUACGGCCGCAAGGUUGAAACUCAAAGGAAUUGACGGGGACCCGCACAAGCAGCGGAGCAUGUUGUUUAAUUCGAAGCAACGCGAAGAACCUUACCAAGACUUGACAUACAGUAGCAUAGUAUAGAGAUAUAUGAAAUGAUAGCAAUAUCACUAUUGUACAGAUGGUGCAUGGUUGUCGUCAGCUCGUGUCGUGAGAUGUUGGGUUAAGUCCCGCAACGAGCGCAACCCUUGCGUUUAGUUACCAGCAGUAAGAUGGGGACUCUAAACGGACUGCCGUAGAUAAUACGGAGGAAGGUGGGGACGACGUCAAAUCAUCAUGCCUCUUACGUCUUGGGCUACAAACGUGCUACAAUGGCUGGCACAAAGAGAUGCGAAGCGGUAACGUGGAGCGAACCUCAAAAAACCAGUCUCAAUUCAGACUGUGGGCUGCAACCCGCCCACACGAAGCCGGAGUUGCUAGUAAUCACAAAUCAGAAUGUUGUGGUGAAUGCGUUCCCGGGUCUUGUACACACCGCCCGUCA
rnacentral:rRNA from 1 species